rnacentral:snRNA from 1 species
GUGCUCACUUCGGCAGCACAUAUAUUAAAAUUGGAACAAUACAAAAGAGAUUAGCAUGGCCCCUGGGUAAGGAUGACACACAAAUUCGCGAAGCGUUCCAUGUUUUU